UACGUAGGGCGCAAGCGUUGUCCGGAAUCAUUGGGCGUAAAGAGCUCGUCGGCGGCCUGUCGCGUCUGCUGUGAAAUCCCGGGGCUCAACCCCGGGCGUGCAGUGGAUACGGGCUGGCUGGAGGCAGGCAGGGGAGAACGGAAUUCCCGGUGUAGCGGUGAAAUGCGCAGAUAUCGGGAGGAACACCGGUGGCGAAGGCGGUUCUCUGGGCCUGUACUGACGCUGAGGAGCGAAAGCGUGGGGAGCGAACAGG
rnacentral:rRNA from 1 species